CUCACUGGCCAGAGUUCAGAACCACAAAGCUCUUCUCUCUCCUGAGUAUUUUUGCCUUUGGUAGAUGACAUUCAGUGCUUCUCAGAUUACAUGGCAUUACGGAUCCCCAAGAGCCACAUCCAAGGCCUGAAGCAGUGGCUGUUCAGAACCCUGCAUGUACCAGAAUGCAAACUACCUUUUGGAAAUCAAGAUCUUUCAGGAAGGCAUAAAAAGUUUUGGGCAAAGUGAUCGUUAUAUCCUGAAGUGUCCAGUGACAUCUUCCAGCCCGAGCCAAGAAAGCAUCCGCUGUGGACCAGACACCAUCCAGGUUUCUCGGCCCCUGCCCCAGGGAGAUGCCAGCCGACAGGUAGGUGAGGCAUUCCCAGGUCCCCCACGGAUUCUGCAAACACAUUUUGCAGGCCUCUUCCUGCCUGGCAUCCUGUGCCUUUCUCCAGCCAGGAAGAUGCCCGGGCAGCCGCCUUGGUCUCUGGUGCCUGCCUUGAGGGCCUUUUUUUGCCCCCCUGGCUGUGAGAAUGAAUUGGGAACAGAGUGUAAACAAGUGCCCAGUUCUUCUUUUCGUCCCUUCUGCCCGCUUGAAGGACAUCAAAG
ensembl:lncRNA